rnacentral:rRNA from 1 species
AACGAACGCUGGCGGCGCGCCUAACACAUGCAAGUCGAACGAGAAGGCGUAGCAAUACGCUUGUAGAGUGGCGAACGGGUGAGUAAUACGUGGGUGACCCUACCCUCGAGUGGGGAAUAACCCGCCGAAAGGCGGGCUAAUGCCGCGUACGCUUCCGUCCUCACGGGGACGGAAGGAAAGCUGUACCGUGGGUACGGCGCUCAAGGAUGGGCUCACGUCCUAUCAGCUUGUUGGUAGGGUAACGGCCACCAAGGCUACGACGGGUAGCUGGUCUGAGAGGACGAUCAGCCACACUGGCACUGCGACACGGGCCAGACUCCUACGGGAGGCAGCAGUGAGGAAUAUUGCGCAAUGGGCGAAA